ACUUACCAGGUCAAGACAUGGGCGUGAUUGACAGGCUAAUGACUUUUCUCGAUUCCAUGGAUGGUGGUGCAUGGUCGCACUUAGUUGGUGCAGUGAUUUGUCAGGUUUAUUCCGGUAACGAACGAGACCUCGGCCUUGUAAAUAGCUAUGCUGCUUACAGGGACAUUGGCGGCUACGCCAAGGAAGCUCGAGGCAAUUGCAGAUCUGGAAUGCCCUUAGAUGUCCUGGGUCGCACGCGUGCUACAAUGACGCCACGAACGAGCUUGCGUGAUGAAAGUUACGCAUAAUCAGCUAGUCGGCGUCUUAAGGGAUAGUCUCUUGUAACUGUGGGACUCCAACUAGGAAUGUCUCGUAAGCACAAGUCAACAUCUUGUGUUGAUUACGUCCCUGCUCUUUGUACACACCGCCCGUCGCUCCUACCGAUCGAGUGUUUAGGUGAAUUUGAUGGACGUAAGGAAGUCAAAUAAACCUGAGCACUAGAGGAAGGAGAAGUCGACAUC
rnacentral:rRNA from 1 species